AGAGGGGCCUCACAACUUGGAAAUGCAAUGAAGGGAACCUAAACCCCUUCCAGAGUAUCAAUUGGAGGGCAAGUCUGGUGCCAGCAGCCGCGGUAAUUCCAGCUCCAAUAGCGUAUAUUAAAAUUGUUGCAGUUAAAAAGCUCGUAGUUGAAUUUCUGCCGCAUCGCGGCGGCCCCCCCGCGCCCAGCGUUGCGUUUUAUUUCAGACUCGCUUGCGUCUCCGAAUGUUUACUUUGAGAAAAUAAGAGAGCAGCGAGCACCCCCUUGCCUUGCCUACUAUAGGAUGGAAUGAAAAAGUAGGACUUUACUUCUAUUUUAUUGGGUUGGCGCCAAAGCACUGAUUAAUGGGAACUGUGGGGGGCCUUCGUCUUUAGUUGUCAGAGGUGAAAUUCUAAGAUCUUAGA
rnacentral:rRNA from 1 species